rnacentral:rRNA from 1 species
GAUGAACGCUGGCGGCGUGCCUAAUACAUGCAAGUCGAGCGAACGGACGAGAAGCUUGCUUCUCUGAUGUUAGCGGCGGACGGGUGAGUAACACGUGGAUAACCUACCUAUAAGACUGGGAUAACUUCGGGAAACCGGAGCUAAUACCGGAUAAUAUUUUGAACCGCAUGGUUCAAAAGUGAAAGACGGUCUUGCUGUCACUUAUAGAUGGAUCCGCGCUGCAUUAGCUAGUUGGUAAGGUAACGGCUUACCAAGGCAACGAUGCAUAGCCGACCUGAGAGGGUGAUCGGCCACACUGGAACUGAGGCACGGUCCAGACUCCUACGGGGGGCAGCAGUAGGGAAUCUUCCGCAAUGGGCGAAAGCCUGACGGAGCAACGCCGCGUGAGUGAUGAAGGUCUUCGGAUCGUAAAACUCUGUUAUUGGGGAAGAACAUAUGUGUAAGUAACUGUGCACAUCUUGACGGUACCUAAUCAGAAAGCCACGGCUAACUACGUG